UACGGAGGGUGCAAGCGUUAUCCGGAUUCACUGGGUUUAAAGGGUGCGUAGGAGGGCAGGUAAGUCAGUGGUGAAAUCUCCAAGCUUAACUUGGAAACUGCCGUUGAUACUAUCUGCCUUGAAUAUUGUGGAGGUGAGCGGAAUAUGUCAUGUAGCGGUGAAAUGCUUAGAUAUGACAUAGAACACCAAUUGCGAAGGCAGCUCGCUACACAUAUAUUGACUCUGAGGCACGAAAGCGUGGGGAUCAAACAGG
rnacentral:rRNA from 1 species